GCAGAAUGAGGCCAGCUUCCAAAUUUAGUGCUUUUCUCUGGCACAAUUCCUGUCUUAUUAUAACUGACGAAGUAUGACUAAUGCAAGCAUAGACAGAUCAACUUGAUGGACAUGUAGUAUAUAAAACAUUGAAUUAUCUGUUCAAGUUUGUCCAGACCAGAUAUUUAUCAACAAAAUUAUUACAUCAAAAAUCAUAUUAGAUUUGAGUCUAUUUAUAAGUUGUGUGGAGAG
rnacentral:misc_RNA from 1 species